AUGGCGCCGCAGCUUCUCCUCCGCCGCUUCCCCUCCGCGGGCGCCCAUCUCUGCCGCUACCAGGGACACGCCCACCGCCGCCGCCUCAGCUCGGCGUCGGAGGCGGCGGGAGGCCCCGGCUGGCGGCGGCAGCACGAGGAGGAGAGCAAGGCGGUCAAGGUGUCGGUGUGGUGGGACUUCGAGAACUGCCACGUCCCCCAGAACGUCAACGUCUGCCGCGUCGCCCAGCGCGUCUCCGCCGCGCUCCGCGCCGCCGGCGUCCGCGGCCCGCUCUCCAUCACCGCCUUCGGGGACGUCGUCCAGCUCUCCCGCGUCGCGCAGGAGGCGCUCGUUGCCACCGGCGUCGUCAUCUCCCACGUCCCAAGCAGUGGAAAGAACAGCUCUGACCGGUCAUUUAUGGCUGAUCUUGUCUACUGGAUUGCUCAGAACCCUCCACCAGCUCAUUUUUUCCUCAUAUCUGGGGAUAAAGAUUUCGCCAACAUUUUGCAUCGGUUGCGAAUGAGCAACUAUAACAUACUACUUGCUUGUCCUGGUAAAACUACCAGUGUACUGUGCAAUGCAGCGACGAUUAUGUGGCCUUGGGAAGCUUUAGUGAAAGGGGAAAAUUUCUCACCAAAGCGUUUUAACCACCCACCAGAUGGUUUAUCUGGAUCUUGGUAUGGUCACUACAAAGGAGCCCUUGACGACCCCUUCGUGGAAGCUGAAUCAGAAGAAACCAUUGCAACACCAGUACCAUCUGAUGCAAAAUUAUGCCAUAAUCCCAAAAAUGCAGUUACUGCAGUCCCCAAAGAUGUGGUUGAUGGGAUACGAGAGACACUGAAUUCGUAUCCUAGUGGGGUCAAGCUUUCAAUUCUUCUUCAACAACUCAAAAAGAACAAUGUGCCUCUUGGUAAUGAUUUCUUUGGCCACAAAAAGUUGUCUUGCCUUCUCCUAUCAAUGCCAGAUAUUGUGAAGUUUGUUACUCGUUCAUCUGCUUUAAGAGAGCCAUGUGUAGUUGGGGUGAACAAAAAAUUACUGGAACCUGCUGAACAAUGUUUUGAGCCCCUGAGUUCUGUUGAAAGUGAUGUCAAGGACAAUAACUGCGGUCGAGCAACACACAAUGAUAAGAAGCCUCCAUCCUCCGUGUCCACUUCUUUUCCUGAACAAAACUGUAAAACCCUAAGUUCUCAAAGUAUCAUCGGGGACAGAAGCUUCAAGCAGACUGUAUCUGAGAACCCAGCUGCAUCUGCUGUAUCAUCUUCCCCACAAGAUGUCUUACCUGAGGAUCAAAAGGUGUGCCCAGCAGCUGAUAUGAAUGCAAGGCCAGAAUCACUUGCCAAUCACAAGGAAGUUGAUGCCCCUGGAACUCCUUCUCCCUUAGGGGUGGAAAAUACUGUUAACAGUGACGGACUAUUAAAAAGGAUCUGGGUACUAUGGAAUGGCCCUGAGAGUGCUAAUCAUGAGGUUUCUCCAUGUCAUGAAGGCACUUCUGCUGAAGUCGCUGAUUUGGGAACUCCUCAGCAAGAUUGCAAUACUGAUCAACGUAGCAGGCUUUUGAAUAGGAUCCAUAAGACCUCUUCCCAGAACAGAAGUUCAGAUGUAACAGAUGGCUCUGCAGCGAUGACUGUUAACUUUUCAACUUUGUCUGACCAUAACCAUUCUGAAAAACAUGCAGAAGAGACAGAAAAGUUAAAGAGGGAUCCGCCUAUUCUCCAGAACUCGAAACCAUCUACUGGACCUGCAUCUGUUCCAUUGUGUAAAGAUGGAGGUGAUACCUCCAAGAUGAGUAAGGGCUUUUUUAGUUGGGUAAUGCGGUGGUGGAAAUUUGGAAAAUUGGAUGGAGAUAACAGUAUAGCCAUGAAAAAUGGCAUUGAUGAAGCAAAGACAGACAUAAUUGAGGAAUCUCAAUCUUUGAAGGCUUCAACUUGUGGAAAUGAGCAGCAAGUAGUUAAUAAAAUAUUCACAAGAUUUUACUUUUGGGAUGUUCUAGGGAAACAGCUAUCGAAGCCCAUUGGGUCUGAGCUUGUUUCGAAAGCAAAGACAAGGGAGGAGUUGGUACAUGGAUUGCAGAAUUUAGAUUGUUGGCCUCUCAAAGGCCUUGUCGAGAAAGAUGUCAGUCAUCUGGUUCAUUUGUUACUUUCAGAAAAGAAAUGGAUCGAGGAAACUCCUUCUAGCGAUUUUCCUUUCCGUCUUACACUCCCUCAAAAGAGAACGCGCACUCCACCAAAUUCUAGCACAACAAGCACACCACCAAAUUCUAGCACAACAUGCACUCCACCAAAUUCUAGCACAACAUGCACUCCACCAAAUUCUAGCACAACAUCCACUCCACCAAAUUCUAGCAAGUUUGAUCUGAGUUCUCUCUUUAAUGUCAAGCCAUUGGAGCAGGGUAAAUAUGGUGGUGACAAAGGUAGGACAAACAGGACUCCGAACAGGGAGGAAACAUUGUCUGAUUGCCACAAGCUAUUGAAGGACCUUCUCCUGCAAUACAAAUAUGGAUUUAACAUCAGCAUUUUCAAGCGUCAUUUUGCUCAGAAGCACGGGUACGAGCUUGACCACCAGAAGCUUGGAUAUGCAGACAUUGAGUCACUGUUGCAGAUUAUGCCUGGUAUAAGGGUAAAAUUUCCAAGGGUUCUGCCUGCAGAAAAUGGGAAUGAUCAGGGUGGCAGUAAGGGCGAUGGAAAUCAAAGUAAUGGCGAUGAUUCCAUCUGGGGGGAACUUGGUCCUGUAUCUGCCACUGCCAAAACUGCUGAAGGGGUUGAUAAAGAAACUUGCUACCGGCCUCCCACCUGCUCAGAAGACGAUUUCUCUGACGAUGAGAAUCAAGCAGAGCAAGAGCCCAGAAGAGGCGCUGAGCAGAGCUCGCUCCUGAAAAUCAUUGAUUCCUGGAACGGCAGCAAGGAUGGCUCUGGCAAGAAACAUCAAGAGAUUGACGGGGUCAUGGAUUGUUCCAGGAGCAGUCCAGGUUACCUUGACACUCUGAGGGCCACAAGGCAGCAGCAGCAGACACAGAAGCAGUAUUCCUUUGUUUCAUCAGACUUGGAAGAGGAUGAAAGCAAGGAUAAGCUUGUGGACAGCGUCUUGGGCAGUCUGCAGAAAGCUCGAGGCGCAAAGGCGUCUAAUUGA
rnacentral:rRNA from 1 species